rnacentral:rRNA from 1 species
AACGAACGCUGGCGGCAUGCCUAACACAUGCAAGUCGAACGAGACCUUCGGGUCUAGUGGCGCACGGGUGCGUAACGCGUGGGAACCUGCCCUUAGGUUCGGAAGAACUCCCCGAAAGGGGUGCUAAUACCGGAUAAUGUCUUCGGACCAAAGAUUUAUCGCCUUUGGAUGGGCCCGCGUUGUAUUAGCUAGUUGGUAGGGUAAAAGCCUACCAAGGCGACGAUCCAUAGCUGGUCUGAGAGGAUGAUCAGCCACACUGGGACUGAGACACGGCCCAGACUACUACGGGAGGGAGCAGUGGGGAAUAUUGGAAAAUGGGCGAAAGCCUGAUCCAGCAAUGCCGCGUGAGUGAUGAAGGCCUUAGGGUUGUAAAGCUAUUUUACACGGGAUGAUAAUGACAGUACCGGGAGAAUAAGCUCCGGCUAACUCCGUG